GACGGAAGGUGCAAGCGUUGCUCGGAAUCACUGGGCGUAAAGGGUGCGUAGGCGGCCGUGCAAGUCUGGCGUGAAAGCCCCGGGCUCAGCCCGGGAAGUGCGCUCGAAACUGCGCGGCUCGAGUGCCGGAGGGGAGAGUGGAAUUCCUAGUGUAGCGGUGAAAUGCGUAGAUAUCAGGAGGAAUACCGGUGGCGAAAGCGACUCUCUGGACGGCAACUGACGCUGAGGCACGAAAGCGUGGGGAGCAAACAGG
rnacentral:rRNA from 1 species